rnacentral:rRNA from 1 species
UACGUAGGGUGCGAGCGUUAAUCGGAAUUACUGGGCGUAAAGCGUGCGCAGGCGGUUCGUUGUGUCGGCGGUGAAAGCCCCGGGCUUAACCUGGGAAUGGCCGUUGAAACUGGCGAACUGGAGUGUGGCAGAGGGGGGGUGGAAUUCCGCGUGUAGCAGUGAAAUGCGUAGAGAUGCGGAGGAACACCGAUGGCGAACGGCAGCCCCCUGGGCUAACACUGACGCUCAGGCACGAAAGCGUGGGGAGCAAACAGG